GAUUAAGUUAUUAAGGGCGCACGGUGGAUGCCUUGGCACUAGAAGCCGAUGAAGGACGUUACUAACGACGAUAUGCUUUGGGGAGCUGUAAGUAAGCUUUGAUCCAGAGAUUUCCGAAUGGGGAAACCCAGCAUGAGUUAUGUCAUGUUAUCGAUAUGUGAAUACAUAGUAUAUCAGAAGGCACACCCGGAGAACUGAAACAUCUUAGUACCCGGAGGAAGAGAAAGAAAAUUCGAUUCCCUUAGUAGCGGCGAGCGAAACGGGAAGAGCCCAAACCAACAAGCUUGCUUGUUGGGGUUGUAGGACACUCUAUACGGAGUUACAAAGGACGACAUUAGACGAAUCAUCUGGAAAGAUGAAUCAAAGAAGGUAAUAAUCCUGUAGUCGAAAAUGUUGUCUCUCUUGAGUGGAUCCUGAGUACGACGGAGCACGUGAAAUUCCGUCGGAAUCUGGGAGGACCAUCUCCUAAGGCUAAAUACUCUCUAGUGACCGAUAGUGAACCAGUACCGUGAGGGAAAGGUGAAAAGCACCCCGGAAGGGGAGUGAAAUAGAACCUGAAACCGUGUGCUUACAAGUAGUCAGAGCCCGUUAAUGGGUGAUGGCGUGCCUUUUGUAGAAUGAACCGGCGAGUUACGAUUUGAUGCAAGGUUAAGCAGUAAAUGUGGAGCCGUAGCGAAAGCGAGUCUGAAUAGGGCGUUUAGUAUUUGGUCGUAGACCCGAAACCAGGUGAUCUACCCUUGGUCAGGUUGAAGUUCAGGUAACACUGAAUGGAGGACCGAACCGACUUACGUUGAAAAGUGAGCGGAUGAACUGAGGGUAGCGGAGAAAUUCCAAUCGAACCUGGAGAUAGCUGGUUCUCUCCGAAAUAGCUUUAGGGCUAGCCUCAAGUGAUGAUUAUUGGAGGUAGAGCACUGUUUGGACGAGGGGCCCCUCUCGGGUUACCGAAUUCAGACAAACUCCGAAUGCCAAUUAAUUUAACUUGGGAGUCAGAACAUGGGUGAUAAGGUCCGUGUUCGAAAGGGAAACAGCCCAGACCACCAGCUAAGGUCCCAAAAUAUAUGUUAAGUGGAAAAGGAUGUGGCGUUGCCCAGACAACUAGGAUGUUGGCUUAGAAGCAGCCAUCAUUUAAAGAGUGCGUAAUAGCUCACUAGUCGAGUGACACUGCGCCGAAAAUGUACCGGGGCUAAACAUAUUACCGAAGCUGUGGAUUGUCCUUUGGACAAUGGUAGGAGAGCGUUCUAAGGGCGUUGAAGCAUGAUCGUAAGGACAUGUGGAGCGCUUAGAAGUGAGAAUGCCGGUGUGAGUAGCGAAAGACGGGUGAGAAUCCCGUCCACCGAUUGACUAAGGUUUCCAGAGGAAGGCUCGUCCGCUCUGGGUUAGUCGGGUCCUAAGCUGAGGCCGACAGGCGUAGGCGAUGGAUAACAGGUUGAUAUUCCUGUACCACCUAUAAUCGUUUUAAUCGAUGGGGGGACGCAGUAGGAUAGGCGAAGCGUGCGAUUGGAUUGCACGUCUAAGCAGUAAGGCUGAGUAUUAGGCAAAUCCGGUACUCGUUAAGGCUGAGCUGUGAUGGGGAGAAGACAUUGUGUCUUCGAGUCGUUGAUUUCACACUGCCGAGAAAAGCCUCUAGAUAGAAAAUAGGUGCCCGUACCGCAAACCGACACAGGUAGUCAAGAUGAGAAUUCUAAGGUGAGCGAGCGAACUCUCGUUAAGGAACUCGGCAAAAUGACCCCGUAACUUCGGGAGAAGGGGUGCUCUUUAGGGUUAACGCCCAGAAGAGCCGCAGUGAAUAGGCCCAAGCGACUGUUUAUCAAAAACACAGGUCUCUGCUAAACCGUAAGGUGAUGUAUAGGGGCUGACGCCUGCCCGGUGCUGGAAGGUUAAGAGGAGUGGUUAGCUUCUGCGAAGCUACGAAUCGAAGCCCCAGUAAACGGCGGCCGUAACUAUAACGGUCCUAAGGUAGCGAAAUUCCUUGUCGGGUAAGUUCCGACCCGCACGAAAGGCGUAACGAUUUGGGCACUGUCUCAACGAGAGACUCGGUGAAAUCAUAGUACCUGUGAAGAUGCAGGUUACCCGCGACAGGACGGAAAGACCCCGUGGAGCUUUACUGUAGCCUGAUAUUGAAAUUCGGCACAGCUUGUACAGGAUAGGUAGGAGCCUUUGAAACGUGAGCGCUAGCUUACGUGGAGGCGCUGGUGGGAUACUACCCUAGCUGUGUUGGCUUUCUAACCCGCACCACUUAUCGUGGUGGGAGACAGUGUCAGGCGGGCAGUUUGACUGGGGCGGUCGCCUCCUAAAAGGUAACGGAGGCGCUCAAAGGUUCCCUCAGAAUGGUUGGAAAUCAUUCAUAGAGUGUAAAGGCAUAAGGGAGCUUGACUGCGAGACCUACAAGUCGAGCAGGGUCGAAAGACGGACUUAGUGAUCCGGUGGUUCCGCAUGGAAGGGCCAUCGCUCAACGGAUAAAAGCUACCCCGGGGAUAACAGGCUUAUCUCCCCCAAGAGUUCACAUCGACGGGGAGGUUUGGCACCUCGAUGUCGGCUCAUCGCAUCCUGGGGCUGUAGUCGGUCCCAAGGGUUGGGCUGUUCGCCCAUUAAAGCGGUACGCGAGCUGGGUUCAGAACGUCGUGAGACAGUUCGGUCCCUAUCCGUCGUGGGCGUAGGAAAUUUGAGAGGAGCUGUCCUUAGUACGAGAGGACCGGGAUGGACAUACCUCUGGUGUACCAGUUGUCGUGCCAACGGCAUAGCUGGGUAGCUAUGUGUGGACGGGAUAAGUGCUGAAAGCAUCUAAGCAUGAAGCCCCCCUCAAGAUGAGAUUUCCCAACUUCGGUUAUAAGAUCCCUCAAAGAUGAUGAGGUUAAUAGGUUCGAGGUGGAAGCAUGGUGACAUGUGGAGCUGACGAAUACUAAUCGAUCGAAGACUUAAUCAA
rnacentral:rRNA from 1 species